CCAGGAUGUUGGCUUAGAAGCAGCCAUCAUUUAAAGAAAGCGUAAUAGCUCACUGGUCGAGUCGGCCUGCGCGGAAGAUGUAACGGGGCUAAACCAUGCACCGAAGCUGCGGCAGCGACGCUGAUGCGUUGUUGGGUAGGGGAGCGUUCUGUAAGCCUGUGAAGGUGGCCUGUGAGGGUUGCUGGAGGUAUCAGAAGUGCGAAUGCUGACAUAAGUAACGAUAAAGCGGGUGAAAAGCCCGCUCGCCGGAAGACCAAGGGUUCCUGUCCAACGUUAAUCGGGGCAGGGUGAGUCGACCCCUAAGGCGAGGCCGAAAGGCGUAGUCGAUGGGAAACGGGUUAAUAUUCCCGUACUUGGUGUUACUGCGAAGGGGGGACGGAGAAGGCUAUGUUGGCCGGGCGACGGUUGUCCCGGUUUAAGCGUGUAGGUGUGUGUUCCAGGUAAAUCCGGUUCACUUUAACACUGAGGCGUGAUGACGAGGCACUACGGUGCUGAAGCAACAAAUGCCCUGCUUCCAGGAAAAGCCUCUAAGCAUCAGGUAACAUCAAAUCGUACCCCAAACCGACACAGGUGGUCAGGUAGAGAAUACCAAGGCGCUUGAGAGAACUCGGGUGAAGGAACUAGGCAAAAUGGUGCCGUAACUUCGGGAGAAGGCACGCUGACAC
rnacentral:rRNA from 1 species